rnacentral:misc_RNA from 1 species
AGGUGUAGCUAGGUCCUAAUUAACUUGGGGGCAUGUGCACACCUUUCUCUUUCAUCCCAUACACACCUGUGCACCUGUGAGACAGAUGUUUUCUAGAGGGGAAGGAACUUUAUCGGACCUACACUUCUUUGACCCCGCUCACUACUAAUUAAAAAUGAAUGCAUUGAUGUAACGCAUCUAAUACUAAGUUUCAACCACGGAACUCUUGGCUCUCGCAUCGAUGAAGAACGCAUCGAAAUGCGAUAAGUAAUGUGAAUUGCAGAAUUCAGUGAAUCAUCGAAUCUUUGAACGCACCUUGCGCUCCUUGGUAUUCCUUGGAGCAUGCCUGUUUGAGUAUCAUGAAAUCUUCAAAGUAAAUCUUUUUGUAAUUCAAUUGGUUCUGCUUUGGUAAUGGAGGUUAUUGCAUCUUCCCACCUGCUCCUCCUUUGGCAAUUAUCUGGAUCUCAUGGUUAUGCCUGGUUCCACUCCACGUGGAUUAAUAUCUAUCGCUGAUGACNCUGUAACAGGUGGUCAAGGGAAAUGGCAUAAGAACCGGUUCCAAUAAUUCAUUAAUUUUGNACCAUAAUUUUAUNGAUCUGAUCCCCAAAUCCNGUAAGACUNCNCCGNUGAACUUNAGCAUAUCAUAUAGNGGGGAAAAA